CUCUGAGAAGAUGCAGCAGAGUCAGCCUCUCUUGUUUUCUGCAGUUCCACCCAGGAAACCAUGCUGACCCUCCCUACUCAAGGACAUGGAGUCACAGGGAAAGGCAGGAGACAGCCAAAUACUUCAUACCUGGUUGUAUAAAUCUGGUCUACAAGUGGAGUGGGUUUUGUUACACUUGGAAAACAAAUAGGAAAGAAGUCCAGGCCACCCAACAAAACAACCCCCAGACCAACCUGGGGCCUGUAGGAGGCUCUGCAGCCAAAGCCCUCAAGAAAAGAAAUGUCCUCCUCCUAUUUUUCUGCUGGGAAACAAGUGUCCAUAACAAAUGUGUGCAGCUAUUUUCCAAAGACAAGAACUCCCAUGGAGAGGAAAGGCAGCAUGGAACACAGAGGAAGCCCCAGCCUGAGCAUCUGAGAUGAGUGGCAGCAGUCCUCACUCCUCAGGGAAAGCCAUGUCUCCACACAGCCUCAUGUGCACUGAUUUUCAAGGCGCACACAUGGGGUGCUGUACCCCUAGGCCUUCAAAGUCCUCCUUCAGCAUAACUCUGUCCCACCUCUUCUCCUCCUGCUUCAGUGGCUGCAGAGGACAGAGGGGUACGCAAAUAUGCCUCCUGUGGCACCCACAGGCUUCCCACUCUUACCUGUGUGAAAGCAUACAUAUAUAAAUACCUACACAUCCUAAAAAACAAAGUAAACUGGGGAUUGGGGUGUAGCUCAGAGGUAAAGCAUUUGCUUAGUACAACCAAGAGGCCCUGGUACCAUCAUCCCCAGCACAGCAAAAAUAAAAUAAAUAAAAUAAUAAAAUGGGAUUAUACUUUACAGAUCCAUUUUAAUCUCACAGCACAAGUCGCAGCCACAUCUCAGGUCUCUAGUGCCACACACACAAAGCAUUCUGCCAUGCAUGCACCGUACGCCAGUGUCCCCAAGUUACCAGAUGCUUGGUUGUUUCCAGUUGGCAUAGGUCUUGUUUAAAACGCACAUUUUAAAGUCAACCACAAAGUCCACAGGAGGACUAA